rnacentral:lncRNA from 1 species
AAUAAAACUUGCAACAUCAAUUUCAACAUCGAUUUUAUAUCUCUAUUUUAGUGAUAGAUUUUAAAAAAUAUUAGUAUAUCAAUAUAUAAAAUUUAGACCUGAUAUAAUAAAAAUACUUACGGAUUUAAAGAAAUUUUGGGAACCGGAAGAAUAAUACAAAGAAUUAUUAGAGAUUAGUGUAGUGGUUCUGGGUUCACUUUUUCCUGUGUAUACUUUUAGCUCCUAUGACACAAAGAAAAAUCUUUAGCUCCGGAAGUGUUUCACAUGAACUGUAAAACCUCGGUUAUUAAUUUACUAUUUUAUUGCCAUUUGGUUUAACAACAUGUAGAAAAAUGUUUGUUCUUAAGACCUGAAAUCCUGCAGCCUUACAAACUUACAAAUCAUUUGAACAUCACAAAAAAGUUCAAAUGAUUAAGGCUAAUAAUGUUCUAUAUUGCAUUAUUUUGACCUUUUUAUCUAAUUGCAAAUCUUGUAAUGACCCACUGAGCAUAUUUACCUUUUGAAUCAAGGAAGCAGCAAGAAGCAAACAGCUGGGUAAGUACUUAUAGAAAGAGAAGGCAGAAAAAUGAAGGAAAAUGUUUCCCUUUCAGGUAUAUUCUUUUCAGUUGUCUUAAUUACUAUGCUCUUGCAUUUAUGGCUUUUAUUAAGUUAUUGCAAUAUUUAAUUUUUCAAACAAUAACAAUGAAAAAUUAUAGUGUAUUAAUAUAUUCCUUAAAAUAAGAGGUAAAGAAUGCGUUUUUUCUCAUCUAUCGAUAUAGUGAAAUAUUUGUGAAUAAAAUGAUACAAUGUUUGGGAUUUACUUUGAAAUAUAAAGGGAUAGAUGAGACUGUAUUGCCAAAGUGAUUGAUGAUAAUUGUUGGUAUUAAGUAAUGUGCAUAUAGAGGUUCACUAUUCUCUUAGAUCAACUUUUGCUUAUGUUUAAAACUCUCCAUUAUAAAGAGUUUCUCUUAAUAAAAGGAUAAACUUAGGUUUUGUGUGGUUUUAAAAAUCAUUUAGCUAUAAUCGCCUUCUGAAAUAUUUAUGAAAUGAAUAAAGCUCUUAGCAUUGUAUGGCUGGAUAUAUUUGUCAGAAUUUAAGGUGCCAGUCCAACUAGGCCCACCAUAUUCAGGGCUGACAUUUGUAUUCCUUUUCCAAAACAAUGGGCAGGUGUGAGUUGCUUUUCCUUAUGUGAGGUAAUCAUUGGUAACUUUUCUUCCUCUCCAAGUUUGUGUAUGGCAGAUCUUGUCUACAGAUGUUGCUUUUUCUCUCAUCAAGCAAUUGCACAAUUAAACUGUCAAGUGUGAGCUGCUUCUUCUUAUGUGAGGUAAUCAUUGGUACUUUUCUUCCUCCAAGUUUGUGUAGGGCAGAUUUUGUCUACAGAUGUUGCUUUUACUCUUAUCAAGCAAUUGCACAAUUAAACUGUCAAGUAGUAAGUAUCUAAUAUAGUCCAAAGACUUUGUGAAGGAAAAAGCUAAUUUAUAAAAGACAGCACAGAGAACAAUUGUCCAAAGGAGAUUAAUGAGCAAAACUGGCUUAUCUUAUUGAAAUGUUUAAACUAAUUGAUUAUGUACUUUUAGGGAGAGUUUUCUACAUUAAAAUGCGAGUUGAAAAUUGGUAACAUUUAUUGCCACAUUUAUUAUGAAAGUUCAUGAUAACUUAAACAUUUUGAAUGGUGAAUACUAAAAUCUGAAAGAGGAUGUCCAUAGGCUGAGGAGAAUAAAUAACUCUGAAGGCCUCUGUCAUUCAGGCUUUAUAUUGUGAGGAUGUAACUUUUUGGCUUCUUU